UACGUAGGGCGCAAGCGUUAUCCGGAAUUAUUGGGCGUAAAGAGCUCGUAGGCGGUUUGUCGCGUCUGCCGUGAAAGUCCGGGGCUCAACUCCGGAUCUGCGGUGGGUACGGGCAGACUAGAGUGAUGUAGGGGAGACUGGAAUUCCUGGUGUAGCGGUGAAAUGCGCAGAUAUCAGGAGGAACACCGAUGGCGAAGGCAGGUCUCUGGGCAUUAACUGACGCUGAUGCGCGAAAGCGUGGGUAGCAAACAGG
rnacentral:rRNA from 1 species